rnacentral:antisense_RNA from 1 species
GCAGGUUUAUGUUUUUAUUUAUGUAUUUUAACUGACUUAUUUGUGUAUCCCACUCUAACAAUACAUUCACAAUAUACUUGCAGAACUGUGCCUGGCACAUCAUGGGAGCAGAGAACUUGUCCAGUGAAUAGUUGUUGAAGAAAGGAGUAAAAUCUCCCCCAAACCCUAAAGGCAUCCUUUUCGUAAGGUGGGUGGCAGUGCAGUGACCUCCACCCUAGGCUGAGGAGAGAAGGAUCCAUUCCUCACUGCCCCAGAGCCUAGUACCUGCUCCUGACAAAGCAGGA